rnacentral:precursor_RNA from 1 species
AUAUGAUCGUACCAUUGACCAAUAUAAAUAUAAAAAUAUAAAAAAAGUUUAUUUACAAUUAUAAAAUUACAUAAAGUAAUUAUUAAUUAUUAUGAUGAGAAUGUAUUUCUUAAGAAACAAGCAUAAAAAAGUUUGGUGUGUGAGAGGGAACAUGGACUGGACCACAAGUCUUCAUUAAAAAUAAGGGAAAAAAAUCAAAUAAAAUUAUUAAUAUCGCUACCCAACUUGUUGGGAAAUUCUAAGAAAGGAUAGGUGACCCACUACUGGUAAACCCUUUCCCAUGUGUCUGGUUUUGUUAGAAAAAUGGGGUCUACAAGCAAUUAAAUAUCUUUGAAAAAACAUUUGUGAUGAUUUGGUAAAUCUAAAUAAAUUUAUUAAAUUGGAUUUUAUUUUCAGCAAAAAAUAAAUAAAAAUUAAAAGGUGAAAUUUUAGUCAUUUUUAGAGCACUUAGUCUCUUUUAUAUUGAAGGCUCCCUCACACCACUUUCCUCUACAACACUCACAAAAGAGAGAGAUUGCUGCACAGAGAGAGAGAGAGGGAGGGAGAGAGAGAGGGGUUGAUGAUCAGGAAGGUUUCUGGGUUUUUUUUUACUGCAACUGGAGGAGGCAUCCAAAGGGAUCGCAUUGAUCCCAAGUUUCACUCUCCCAAAAUUUUUCAAUUUAGGAUCAUGCUAUCCCUUUGGAUUCCUCCUUUGGUAGCUGCUACACAGCCUCUUUUCAUGCAUGAACACCUAUAUAUAUAUCCAAUGAUUCAAGUAAGUCUCUUGCUCACAUUAUUAGCCUAAUUUGUCUAGCUUUCAACUCAUCACCAAGAACCCACCUUUGCAUGAAUUUUACAGUUUGUUUUCUUCUUAAGUUUCUUAUACCAAAGAUCAUAUAUAUAUAUAUAUAUAUAUAUAUAUAUAUAUAUAUAUAUAUAUAUUGCAUAUUUUUCAUCA